AUUGUCUGACAGUAUAAAACAUAGGAAACAAUUGACUAAAUGAGAACAAAUCUGCAUAUUUAAAUGAUCAAGACAGACUAUGCAGGACUCACCACUGAACUGAGGGUGACAAAGCUCUGAUGUUUCAGAAACUAGCAGCUGAAGACAUCAUCGCAGUUUCUUAGGAGAAGGUCCUGAGCUGUGGAAAACUGAGAAUUUUCAGUUCUGCUGAUCUCUAUGUCGUCUGCCAUAUCUUGUCCUUGCCUAAGAGGCUUGCAGCAUGUUCCAGAGCACAUCUGAAUCCCAGAAUUCACUAUAAUUGGCAAGAAAACAAGCAGAACGUACCAAAAGUACCAUACCUGUACAAGCAGAGAGUUUGUCUGGUUCAAGAGGUGCCAGCACUGGAGAAUUCACUCUAGGAAGAUUUUCAUUGGAUAAAUUUUAUUUGGAAACAGGUUAUUAUGAUUAAAUAAUGGAUAAAUAUUUGCUCCUACUUACUCAAAUGCAUUAAUGUGUAAUCUGGCUUUAUUUAAUUCAUUUAUGUCAGAAAAUUGAUAAAUGGUAUUUUAGCUACUUUUGGAUGCCUGUGAGUGUAAAAUUUUGUCCCUUAUGAACUCUAAAUACAGUGGAACAUAAUUUUUCAUAUGAUUUCAAUGGAAUGAACAUUUACACCUCUAUAGCUUUGCAACAUUGUAAUAUUUAAUUAAAUGACUGUGGAGUUACAUGCAUUGUCUAUAAAAGCUGAACGUAAACUAGUAACAGAAAGCUACUGGCCCACUGGAUGCAUUUUCAUGUCUGAGGAGUACAUAAAAGGAUCACAGCUUUGCCAUAAUGCAUAUUAUACUUGAGUCUUAUAAGACAUCUGACUCAGCCCCCCAGGCCUAAAAGGAUUAAAUUUGGCUCUUUUUUUUUGUAGUACUUAUAGUACAUAAAAAAGUCUUUUUAAGUGUUGUAGCUAGCGGUAGUUCCCUGAUUCUGAACCUAGUUUUGAAUCCAGCCUACACAGUGCUCCAAAACAGACUAAUUUAUAAAUAUUUGCAUAAGGAACAGCAACAUUGAACACUCUCUACCUGGUCAGUACUGAAGUCAGGGAGAGAUGCUGCAACUCUUUUAGUCUCCCCAGAAAAUAAAGAAACUUGUUAUCUUCUACAUUUCUGAGUAAAUUUGUAGGAUUAUUGAACACUGAGGUGAUACCGAAGGUGCUCUCCUUUCUUCUGUCUUGCUCUCCACUUUUCUUUUUCUGUAUCUGCUAUCCCUUUGAAUUGGAAAUCAUAAAUGUAUUUUCCCUUUCAGGGUUGAUUGUAGUUUUUGAAAUGUAAGAGAAAAGCAGUAAUUGUUUCUGAGGUUGUAGACUAGCAGCUUUUCCAUAAUUCUGGUGAUAGUUGAGGACCAGACUUAAUGACUCUGUGCAGUUUCAUGAUCCCUUGGAUCUGUUUACUAGAGGUCCUAGAGGUCAUUAUUACAAUGACCUGUCCUCUUUUUAUUUUUUAUUUUUUUCCCCUCCAUCUAAUGCUGCCAAGCUUUUUUUUUUUUUUUUUUUUUUUCUCCCUUGUAGGAACCUGUCUAAAAUUUGUGUUAUGUCCCUUUCCCUAGCAGCUGGGACACAGCAAACAUAACCUUUUCUACCUCAUGCCCACUAACUUCAGUAGCCAGCUAAAGUUUCUGUGUAGAGGUGUCUUUUGUCAGUCCUAUUUUGUGUGGCUUGCAGUUGAGGAAGGAGAAAAUUUCCAAAGCAAAAUAAACUGAAGGAAGAUUACAACCACACAUCAUUAAAGUUGUCUUCUAUCUUCCCUGUGUAACAAUCUAUUAGAGUAGUUACUAAUAUCUUUCUCUAUACAGUGAAAGAUGGGGAAACAGUGACUUGUGCAGCUAACAGUGCUGCAGGUGUGUUAUUGCCAGCAGUGCAAAAGUUGAUCUUUGUUAAUACGGAAAAAAAUAAUAAUCAUCAACCUGAUUUUUACAGGAAAUUUGAACCUGUGAAUUUCCAUACAUCCUAAAUUAAUUCUGGAUUUCAUUUUAAAUCCUUCAUACCAUUACAGGAACAGACUCUACUUGCAGUUUCAAAAUUACAAAAGGACUAACUAUGCAGUAAACAACCUUGAUAUUUUCUCUCUCUCUCUCUCUGUACAACCUUCUAAUGACUGUCAUUGCUUUAGCUUCAAGAGGUUGUGUGAUCUAAUUAGGGCAAAUUGAAUAAGACUGCUUUUAUGCUAACGCGUGAGAAAGUUAAUUGAAAUCAAUCCAUGUUCAGUGAAAAUGCUAGAGACAUCACUGAUAAUUUAAAGCAAUUAAAAGAUGUUGUCCUGAAGCAAGGCAGAAACAUUAAGUCUAAGAGCCUGUUAAAAGAAAACUACCUAAAAUAUUUAAAUGAUAUUAUUCAGUUAAGAUGGACUGGGGAUAGCUGAAGCAAUUAGAAAUCAUAAAGCAUAAAAUCAGUCACAUGUAAUCUUCUUUGAGCUAGCUCAAGCCAUUUGUUUUUUGUAAAAUAAUAGAUCUUUUUAAAAAUCCCAUUUGUGACAUUUUGUGAACAAAGGUGUACUAAUGAUAUGAGGCGGUAGGCUUGCAAAUCUCCAGUUCUCAUUUAUGGGCCAUUGUGCUUUAAGAAAAUAGUAGGUAUAGAAUUUAAAUUCAAAUGUAUUUUCAAAUGUAUUUGGAUAUAUCUUUUUAUUACUUGUUCAUAGUACGCAAAACUUCAUAUUCAAUGGAUGUGAAUGUUAUAGCUUUUAUGAAAUUCCUAAACAAAACAGCAUAAACAAGAUAAGGGUUUUCACUUCUUAUGUCACCAUCUCAAUCAGUGUACCCAUGCAAAUUGCUCAGGAGAUCAGAAUUCAUAGCUUCACAAUUCUGCAACAUCUUUAUUUAGAAGUUUCUUCUACCAGAAGAAAUAAGAUAUAGGAUAAAGAAUAAAAUCCAAAAACACAUUUGGAGUAUCUGCAAAAGUUAAUCUACUUUUUAUUUAGCCCCUUGAGCAGACAUGAUGGACUUGAUUGUAUUGCCUGCCAGCUCUAGCAGGACUUGUGAUGUUCGCUGAGAAAGUUAACUGCAAUCACACAUGCUGGUAAUACUGAACAGACAUGAAAUUGUAUUAAAGAUUAGUUCUAUAAUAGAACCUAUACCAUAGAUGCAGGCUGAAGACAGAUAAAAUUAAUCUGCCAAAUACAAGUAGUUAUCUUUUAUGAUCUGUCACAGCUUGUACUUGCAUAUUUUUUUUAUAAAUAUUUAUCUUGACCAUUCUUAGCCAUGGUUAAACAUAUGGAGGUCCAAAACGACUGAUUCUGAGUCAAUAGCACAGCGGAUUAUUAUAUUUUUAAUUAAAACAAAAUAAGAUAAAAAGGAGGCCCAGCAAGACUAUAACUGUGAUCACAGCUUUCUUUACUUCUUGUAUCACCAAGGGAUCUUCAAAUAAGUAUUUAAGCUCACUUUUACUUGUUACAAGUGUGUUCCAUUCCCAGUCCCUGAUUAUCCAUCCCUGGUUCAGUUUUUUGUCCUGAUUCCUUAGUACGAUUUAUAGCAUGUCCAGUGGUACUGAUCAUCUGAACCAUGGGCUACAUGUCAUGUGAUGUGUUGUAGUUUUCCUCCCAUGGAGGGCAUGGUGCAUACUUGGCUUUCAUCUACACAUGCAGAUUAGGCAUGGCUAACACACAGCAGAGGUAACGGUGGAUGCUGGAAGCAUAGUGCUGGAUGCACUAUGGUCUUUUGCAUAGUGCACCUACAGGCAGUGUGGAAAGACCCCACACAUUCAUGUGUUUGGAUCCCUCAGCAUUGGAUGGGAACAUAACAUCUAAAAGAUUUUACAUUCUUGCUGUGAAAUACAGUCUUGGGGUAUAUAUCAGAUAAUUUCUAUUAAAUGUGUCAGCUGUGUUUGCAUUUGUAUUUCUUCUCUUCAUGUAUACAAUUGUUGGGCUGAAUUAAAUAAGGCCUGUAUUUCUACUGCUGGUACUACUGGUGAGCUGCUUUUUUUCCAUGAAGUGUUGGCUUCAUCCUGUAAUCUUGUGAAAGUUAAGAAACUUGAGUUGAAGUAUUUUUUUGCCCCUCCCCACCUUUAAUAGAGAGUAUAUUCUCAUUCUUUUAACUGCAGAAAAUAAGGUUAAACAAACAAACAAUUAGUCCCUGAAUGUUUGGUUAAUUCAGGAAUUAUGAGUCAUUAUUGAGACUAAGCAUCUGAUAUUUUAUGCCUUAAUUAUAA